ACUUUCAGUGCUUGGAAGCUUCAGGUUUCAAGGGUUUGUGGGUUUCUCUUUUUUCUAUUCUUUACGCUUUUAAUGUCAGAUCUUUGUACUCUUCAAUUUUGGGAUAGUUUUUGCGUUUUUCCAUCUGGAACUCUCUAAAUCUAUUUCAUUUUUAAGUGAGAUUUCAUCCUACUGGGCCUUGAUAAAUUGAUCAAAUUUAUCCAGAAUUUUUUGAAUUUGAGUUUGGUGUCAACGGGCUUACAUGGAGAUUCCACCAUUGAUGUCAAGCUGAGUUUUCCUGUUCAUGCUCCGAAUUGUUGGAAACAUCAGCUUAUAUUAUUUGGCUUUAUAGAACAAUUUGGCCUCGCCCUAGAUUUCUCUCCACAACAUGGAAUCGAGAAUGCACUUUUCUGAUGUUUCAUCUCAUUGCAUGUUAUAAUAUGUGUAUUUGUUCCAUUUGGAAGCAUCAAUUUUUUAUGGGUAGGAAAUAUCUACUUUAUAUAUUUUAAUUUUUUUAUUGUUUUUGGUUUUUGUACAAAGUCCUGCUUAAUUUAAGAUUUACUAUAUCAUUUAGACUGUAGUACAUCAUCAUAAACAACUUCUUUAUCUCUCAAGAUAAGGAUAAAACUGAGUAUGUUAUUGUUGUAGACUUUUAGUGCAUUGUUCAUAUUCUUUGCUGCUAAAAGGCUUUCCAAUCUGCAAGGAGAAAAAUUGAGUUUGUCUCAAUAGGUCUUUAUAAGUUAUUCUAGCCAUUACUUCAUAUUGAGCAUACAUUAAUAAGUUCCAUGCUAUUUCGAAGGCUCAUUAGUUCAUUGUUAUGCUUUUCUGAAUUGAAUUAGACUAGAUAGCAUUAAGUGCUCAGAAGGUCGAUGACUUGGUAUGUGUGCUUUUCAAUAAUUUGCUGGAAAAGAAAAUAGUAAUGUCCCCAUGGGUACAUUGGAUAGUGAAGAAGUUGGGGUGUAAAAUCAGAAUGUUCCUGACAGCUUCACGAGCAAACAAUAUACUCAGUAUGUUAAGAAAUUUAUUUUAAAUAUGUAUUAUUGUGAUUCAAAUCUUUCUUCAUUGUUGCAGUGCUUCGUAAGAUUCUACUAUUUCCUUACAAAAUGUACACACUUCUCUUAAUUCCAACUUACUUGGUUGAUUGAUACAUGUUUUUUCAAGAUAUCGCCACGUCUUUCUGAAUCCUUCAUAUGCAUCGAGUCGGCUGGGUACGGAUGUGAUAUGCAUUUGAAUACUUUCGAUGGAUCAUCAAAACACAGUAAACAAAUGAACUAAAUUUACUUACAUUGGAUACUUACACACCCCUAUUGGAACAGUACAAUGAUUGUCGUGAGACCAAAGUUUUCUCCUACUUUGGAGUCAACAGGAUAGAAUUUUAACUUACAGUAAAUAUAGACCUACAAGAUACACUGUCGUUUCUAGAGAUUGGGAAAGUUACCCCACAGAAAUUUUUACUAAGUGCUUAAUCAUACAUUUGAUUUCAGUCAUGGAGUCGAGCUCUAGAUUUUUCUCACUUCUCACUAAUGCAUAGUUUUUAUCUUUCUUAUCUUCAGUUAUAAGUGGAAACGUCCAUUUGUGGCAAUAAUUUCAUAGAGCUUUUUACAGAAGUUGAGUUACACUAUUCUCUUACUCCUAAACAAUUUCUUUCAUUGACAACAUAGGUGUAUUUCACAUCUUUUUUGACUUGCAGAACAAAUAUGAUUUUUCUGGCCCAUUUUUGUGCACCUACCUCACCUUUUACAACUCUUACAGCUUCUCCUAUUGUCUUUCUUGGAGUGAGUCAUUGUCAUCCUUCUAUUAAUUCGCAUUUCUCAUAUUUUAGGGAUUUUUGUAAUUUCUUUGGUCACACCGUCAAGGAUUCUCUCUGUUGUUCCUACAUCAGCCUUUUGUUAAUAUUAGAUAAAAAUUAAUCUUUCAAUCUCAAAAAGAAAAUAUGAAGCUUGGAAGAACUUGUCUUCUUUAAGACAUGUUUAAUUCAACUAAUGUCACAGUGGUGUUAUAAAUAUGAUGAAAAGUAAGUUGAUUUGUGUUAAAUUACUGAAUCAAUACACUAUCAAUGGUGAAAAAAUGUAAAUGGAAGCAGUUAAGAAAACAGAGAGUACAUCUUCUUCAGAGAACUUGCAUUCAAUACCAUCUGUAAAUUGGAUUGUCUAACUACAAAUGAAUGAGGCUAGGACCUUUUAUUUACAAAAGAUUCUACUUGCUAAUAAUCUCUAACAAUCUACUAACUACAUAAAAUAUCUUCUAACAAACUCUAACUGACUCGUGUGCCAGCUUAGCUCAACUAGCUGCAACUUGUUUAUCAUAGUCGUAGUCCUCAAUACCCCCAUUCAAGCUAGGUGGUAUGAAGAUGUUCUUCAAGCCUAGCUUGGAAACGAGAUAAGAGUGUCGGGCAGAACUUAGUCCCUUUGUGAGGAUAUCGGCAGGUUGUUCUUGUGUGGGCAAAUAGUGAAUCAUCACAAGGCCAGCUUGAACCUUUUCCCGAAAGAAGUGGCAGUCAAUGUCGAUGUGUUUCGUCCUUUCGUGGAAUACAUGAUUAGCUGCGAUCUGAAUGGCAGCUUUACUAUCACAAUAUAAAGAAAUAGUAAAGACAAUAGCAUAUCCAGCUCCUUGAAUAAACUAGUUAACCAAACGAGCUCAGCGACAGUGGAGGCGAGGCUCCUAUACUCUGCCUCUGCAGAACUUCUGGAAAUGGUAGACUAUUUCUUAGACUUCCGGGAUAACAAAGCACUUCCAAAUUGAAUCAUAUAACUAGUAAUGGAUUUCCUAGUAUUAAUGCAAGAGCCCCAAUCAGCAUCACAGUAUGCUUGAAGUGUGGCUGCUGUCUGAACAGCCAUAUAAAGGCCUAGACCUGGAGCUUGUUUCACAUACUUCACCACUCGAACAGUUGCUUCCAUAUGAGAAGCCUUAGGAGCAUGCAUGAAUUGGCUCAAAUGCUGGACUGCAAAGGAUAUAUCAGGUCUUGUUAUGGUAAGGUAUAACAACCUUCCAACUACUCGUUGAUAUUCAGUAGGGUCUGCUAACAAAGAAUCAGCACCUGAACUUCCAACAUGUAGAUCAAACUCAUGUGUGGCAAGCUUCAAAUGCAUCUCAAUAGGAAUGACAGAUGGUUUGGAUCCUCCCAAUCCCAAAUCAGAAAAAAGCUCAAGGGCAUAUUUCUGUUGAUGCAUUAGCAUACCACCUGCAUUUCUGGCAAAUUCAUGCCCAAGAAAUAUCUCAAAGUGCCCAAGUCCUUAAUUUUGAAGUUUGCCUUAAGUACUUGUUUGGCAUCAUCUAUAAGUUGGAGAUUGCUUCCAGUAAUCAACAAAUCAUCUACAUAUAUAAGUACAAUCACAAUCCCAUUUGCAGUCCGCUUUAUCAUCAAUAAAUAAUCAAGAUGGCUCUGCUGAAAACCAGCGACAAGUAAAGCAGUAGUGAGCUUCACAUUCCACUGUCGAGAAGCCUGCUUCAGCCCAUAUAGAGACUUAAGUAACCUGCAUACUUUAGGAACCCCUUUCUUAUCAUGCUGAAAUCCUUGUGGCAAUUGCAUAUAGACUUCCUCAAUAAGAUCGCCUUGUAAAAAGGCAUUAUAAACAUCCAUCUGUUGAAUGUCCCAUCCCUUUGAAACAGCCAAGGUCAGAACAGUCCUUAAUGUAACCAUUUUUACUACAGGAGAGAAAGUCUCUUGGUAAUCCAGGCCUUCUUUCUUAUUAUAACCUUUUGCUACUAGCCGAGCCUUGAAUCUUUCUAUCUCACCACUAGCUUUAUAUUUGAUUUUAUAAACCCAUUUACAACCAAUUGCUUUCUUUCCUUUUGGCAAAGAAACAACCUCCCAAGUUUUGUUAUCCUCCAAUGCUUGAAUUUCUUCCUUAAUAGCAUGUACCCAUCUACAAUCAUUAGCAGUCUGAUAAUAAAAUUGAGGUUCCGUCUCAACUGAUGAACUAGCAAUGUAACAUUGAUAAGUGGAGGAAAGACAAUUGUAAUCAAUGUUGUCUGAGAUAGGAUAAAGACAAUGGUUUGAUCUACCUGUGGAGGUAGUAAUGAAAUCUUUCUGCCAAAGGGGUGGUUUGCUUGGCCUGUGAGAUCUCCUUCUCUCAGGAGAAGGAAGUAAAUGAUCAUAAAAAACAGCUGAAGGAGGUGAAGCUACUUGUAUAAUUUCCUCACUUGUUAUUGUAGCAGGUUGGACUGCAUCAACAUCCUCAGUAUGAGAGGAACAGGUAGGUGAAGCCAAAAAUAUUGUUGUAUCAUGUGGAUCAGCCAAUGUUGGGGACUGAAAAGGAAGCACUGCUUCAUUGAACACCACGUCCCUACUAACAAAGAAUAUUUGAUGCUCAAGAUCAUAUAACUUGUAACCCUUUUGUGUAGAACCAUUGCCCAUUAAAACUGAUCAAAUAGCCCUCGGACCAAAUUUAUCAGUGUUGACUAGAUUUGUAGCAUGACAUAGACAGCCAAUUACUCUCAUGUAGGACAAGUCAGGAGAUCUCUUAUACAUCAAUUCAAAAGGUGAUUUAUUGUGCAAUACUGAAGAAGGAAUUCUAUUUAUAAUGUGUACAUCACUUAAGACACACUCACCCCAGAAUUGAAUUGGUAAGUGACCUUGAAACCUAAAUGCCCUUGGAGUCUCUAAAAUGUGUAUGUGUCUUCUUUCCACUACAUCAUUCUGUUGUGGUGUAUGUGGACAAGAACUUUGGUGCACAAUCCCAUGACUCUUGAACAACCCAUCACACUGAGCAUUAAAGAACUCAGUACCAUUAUCUGAUCUGAAAGUCUUAAUUUUCUGUCCAAAUUGAGUGUCAAUCAUCAAAAUGAAAUUCUGUAAAAUAGUAGAAACAUCAGAUUUCAAGUGCAUUAAGAAAAUCCAUGUCCAUCUUGAAUGAUCAUCAACCACUGUUAGAAAAUAUCUCAUUUUAUUAUGUGUAGCAGCCUUAUAAGGUCCCCAUACAUCCAAAUGAAUCAAGUUAAAACAAUUGUCACUUUUACUUUGACUAAUAGGAAAUGGCAAUCUAACUUGUCUUGCCAAUGGGCAUACAUCACAACUAGGUAGAACAAGUUUUUGUGGACUAUCAAACAUCUUAAUUUUCCUAAGCACACUCAUAGGGAUGUGACCUAGUCUCUUAUGCCACGUUUCAAUUUCUUCGCAUCCUUUAACAGCUGCCAGUGCCUUCUUUGAUUUAUCAUGAUGUUGGUGUGGUCUGGUAAUGUACAAGCCAUUAAUCUCUUCACCAAUCUCCUUCACUUUCCCAGUGAAGAGAUCCUGAAUUAUAAAGAAAUCAGGGAAGAAAAUGACAUAACAAUUCAGUUCUUUAGUGAGCUUAGAAACUGAAAGAAGAUUGAACUGAAAAUUUGGCACACACAACACAUUUUUAACUACAUCACCUCAUGUUAAUUGUGAACUGCCUGAGUGUGUAACAACAGCUGAAUCCCCUGUGGGGAGUUGGACCUUUCCCGGGUGAGAAACUGAUAAGCCAUAUAAUCAGUAGCACCACUAUCUACUAUCCAAGCUGAGCUAUGAGUAGUACUGUUACAGUGAGAAGAACCUGCAAAAAUUCCUGCUACAUUUGCACUGGAUUCACUCAGCAUGGGUUUUUUCAUCAUGUGAAUGAUGUUGUAAUAUUAACUCGUAGUAAACUGUGGCACAGAUCUAAGUCCAAAAUUUCCAGCAAUAGAUCCAGAACUAUGUCCAAUUGUAUUUCCUGUAAAUUGCAUGGGAGAAACAAAAUGGCCAAUACCAUCACCUGUAUACUGCAUUGGGUAAUUGAGAUUAUUGUUGAAAUUAUUGUGUUGCAUUUGAGGCAAUGAAAGUGCAGUGACAAUAUUUGCCUUCUUCUUUCCUUUGUAGUCGGCAAGGUAACCGAUGAGUUGAUAGCAGGUGUCCUUUGUAUGACCUUGCAUAUUGCAAUGUGUGCAGUGCUUAAGCUUGUUGCUAUUGGCUCGAAUGUGCCCUUUCAUGUUACAUAAAUCGCAGUACAUAUUUCCUCCUUUGUGAAAUCGAUGAGAAUUACCAUUACCACUUCCAUUACCAGAACCUUGAGAUCCAAAACCACUGCCUCCAGGCCUGUGAGUGAAUAAUGCAGUUGGAUCAAUCGUUUGUCCAGAUCCACUUAAGGAACGUUGGCUUUCAUCCUGAACAAUCAUUGCAUAACAUUGAUUCACACUAGGAGAUGGAUUUAUCAUUAGAAUUUGGCUCCUUGCUUGCCCAUAGUUAUCGUUCAACCCCAUAAGAAACUAAAGUAAUUUUUGCCUAAGCAUACUAUCAGUAUAAUCAACUGAUUUUGCACAGUCGCAGGAAGGAGGUGGGAGUAUCGAGUCAUAUUCAUCCCAAAGAUCUUUCAAUUUCGAAUAGUAAACUGAAACAGGAGAAACUCCUUGAACAUGCGUAACAAUUGCUUUAUGGAAAUGAAAAAUACUUGACAUGUUUACCUUGUCGAAUCGUUCCUUCAAGUCAUUCCAAACCAAAGCUGCAUUAGAUCGAAACAAGAUACCACUAACUAUGCUUACAUUAUUCAUCAACCAAGAGAGGACCAUCGCAUUGCAUCAAUCCCACUGUUUCUUCUCCAGUUCUUCCUUAAAAUCAUCUCGUCGAAGACUGCCAUCAAUAAAUCCCAUCUUAUUCUUCGUCAAGAGGGUUAAUUGCAUAGCUCGACUCCAUAGUGAGUAAUUUUUCAUCCCUGUGAGCUGAAUUCCAGUCUGCACAACUCCUGGAAUAUCAGAUGUCGAUAGAUACAGAGGAUGAUUGUGGUCGAUCUUCGUCGCCAUCGCAAUCCUUCAACUCUGCAAUAUACUAAAAAAAAUGGAGAUGCGGAAAAUUCACCCAGAACUCUAUCAAUUAAGCUCUGAUACCAUGUUAAAUUGCUGAAUCAAUACACUAUCAAUGGUGAAAAAAUGUAAAUGGAAGCAGUUAAGAAAACAUAGAGUACAUCUUCUUCAGAGAACUUGCAUUCAAUACCAUCUAUAAAUUGGAUUGUCUAACUACAAAUGAAUGAGGCUAGGACCUUUUAUAUACAAAAGAUUCUACUUGCUAAUAAUCUCUAACAAUAUACUAACUACAUAAAAUAUCUUCUAACUGACUCGUGUGCCAGCUCAGCUCAACUAGCUGCAACUUGUUUAUCAUAGUCGUAGUCCUCAAUAAUUUGUGUGAUAUCAACAUGUGCAUCAAAACUUUUAACUUCAACUUUCCGCAAUAAAAAUGUGUUCCUUAUUAGAAUUCUGAAAGUACAACAAUACUGACCAUCUUUGCCGAAUUUUAGAAAAAAAUUAAAUAAGAAGACUAACAUCUUCGUUGUUGGCAUUACGCAGAUCAUAAGAGAGAUGGAGUGAGAACCAACUAGAAUUAUCUUGGUACAUUAUUAAACAUCGUAUAUUUUUAAGUUUCCAGGUAUUAUUCAACUCUACAAUUGAAAAGUUCAAAGUUAUAUUGACUGAUUGACCAUUGUUUUUUAUGAUGUAAUUUUUAACUACUGUGUAAUAUGAUAAACAAAAAUAGAUAGAACAUGUAGUGAACUGUUCCACUACUGCUAACUUAUAUUGUAUUAACCAUACUUUUGGAGCUUUUAUAUGUUGUCGUUUCUACAGGGCAACAACAUAUAUGCAAAUUUUGUAUAAUCAUUGUUUUUUUUGCUGGACUCUCUAUUACUUAGUUCUCAAUCAUUAUAUAUUCAUCUCCAUUUUAUGGGUUCACUGGUUUCAACAACUCUUUGGGAUGUUUUCUUCACCAAUUGAAGGAGACAUUUAUUGUUGAAUCUUUCUUUUAGUACUACGCUAUUAUAGUUGAUUUUAUCAAAUAUAAGAGAUAUAUAAGGAUACAGUUGAGCCAUUGUUCAUAUGCCAUCUGAAUUAGGUAUCUAUUAGUGAAAUAAUCUGACAAGAUUGCAAUUAUGUCAUAUUGGAUAUGUAUCGCAGGCGAAUUCUUACCCUUUGUAGAUUAAAUUGUGUUUCAUUGAAUAGAAUAUUUCUAUCUUGCAAACUUUAUACUCUUAAUAGGAGGACCUAUUGAAUAAGUCUCCAAUCAAUCGUAGGCGGGUGAGAAAAUGGAUUUGCCUCUUUCCUAUAGUGUUCAUUGUCGAUAAGUUUCCUCUAGAGAUUGAUUUCUUAAAGAAAUACUUCUGAUCUCAAGUUUUAUGUCUUUUUUUGUUAUUCUGUUGAGAAAUAUUUCUUAUGAAAGAAUGUCAUGUUCGUAUUCAUAUUGAAUAACUUUAUUUUGGACAUUAUUAUGAUGCCAACUAUAACUUAUAUUUCUUAAUUUAGUGACGUUAUAUGUUUAGUAAGUAUAUUUCAGUGUCACAUUAGUUACACUUUUUAUUGUUGGGGUGACAUCCUCUUUAAUAAGUAUAUUUUUGUGUCUCAUUCGUUUUUUUGACGUUUUCAGCACCAAUGGAGAAACUAUAUUCUAUUUAGACCUUGUUAGUAAGAAAUAUAUAGUAUGCCUAUACUAUAAGAUAUUGAAUGUUAACAUAUCUGAUAGCUUACAUGAUCAGGCGUACUUUAUAUUGCCUAAUGUAGGUUUGGGAUUAUAGGUAGAAAAGAUUACCUAGCUGCUUUACAUGACAAGGCGUACGUUAUAUACAACCAACUUCUAUAUGACUAUCAACUGCUUUGACUUUGUAAGUUUGGCCAUAUCUUCAAACUGAUGUACUUUAUGUACUAAGCCUCUUUUUUUGCCCAACACAUAUUAUGAGUAAUAGUUGAGUGCAAUCUCUUUGUUUAUUAAUUAGAGUCAGUUGUAUCUAUGGAUUGUUAUGACGCAAUAUCAAAAUUGUUUCAAUAUACUGUGUUGACAUGACUAUUUUACACUCAAAUCUUUUUUUUACCUUCAAACUUUCAAGUUCUGCCAUUGAAUUCUGUUAAUCAAUGUAAUCUUCAGUCUCGAAAUUUGUUCCCUUAAAUUCUGCAAAUGUUAUAGAGGGUCAAGUAUAUCCCGUGGAUGGUGUACUUUCAAAAUUCAACUUCAAGACAGUAAAUGCCAUAUUUUUUAAAGUCAGUGUCCAAGUAUUUACUUUAAAAUGUUUCCAUUUGCAAAGGUAUAAAGUUGUUAAAUCCACACACUUAUUUAGUAUCUUUGACAAUGUAAUUAUAUUCUUAUUGCUAUAUGAGGUCUACUCAUUCUAAGCAAAUUUGGAUCUGCAGUUAUCCCUGAAUGAGGAAGAAGAAACAUAUAGAAGGUAGUUUAUUGAAGCAUUUUUACAGCUAUGAUUUUGCCUUUUUUCCCAUGUGUUUGUUAGUUUAGUAGGUUUCAUGUUUUUAACAAUACUAGUUUCACGGCACAUGUGUAUUGUAUAUAUAAUGUACAAUGCUGUAAAAUAGAAUUAAUAUUACUAAAGUAAGC
rnacentral:lncRNA from 1 species